CGCCAACUAUCGCCAGCUUCCAGUGGCGUAAAGCCCGUUCUCCACUACGCGAAUUUGUUCGCGCGACGCGAAGCGAAAACCGAAAUCCGGCAACGUGAUUGGUCGGCGAAAAAAAUCGCGGCGAAAAAGUAGGAUCGCUUCCUACUUUUUAUCUGUUCGCGCGAAUAAAUUCGCCUAGUGGAGAACGGGCUUAACGCUCAUUGGGUAGGGUUAGUUCGAAAACUAAGGGCCCCCGACAGUUAGGGGCCCCCAUCAUGAUAACCUGAAGUUCAGGCCCUAAUUUGAAAUAGGGCCUGACACAAAACCUGUCUAGACCGUAGGACGUCCACAUGUUAUUUUUAGACACAUCAUGCAAUAUGAUUGACAAGUGUUGUAGAUUUCGUUACAC